GAAAUGCGAUAAGUAAUGUGAAUUGCAGAAUUCCGUGAAUCAUCGAAUCUUUGAACGCACAUUGCGCCCUCUGGUAUUCCGGGGGGCAUGCCUGUCCGAGCGUCAUUGCGAACCCCUCAAGCACGGCUUGUGUGAUGGGCCCUCCCGCGUCUUGGUCGUCAAGACGGGCCCGAAAUGCAGUGGCGGCUUCGCGAUUAUCCGAUCAGCCAGAGCGUAUGGGGACUUUCUCUCUGUCACACGCCCGCGGCGCGGACCGACGCCUGUCGACCUUCAUUCAUCGUUUUCUCGGUUGACCUCGGAUCAGGUAGGGAUACCCGCUGAACUUAAGC
rnacentral:misc_RNA from 1 species